GGAUAAGUGAAGUGUACACAGAGGAGGGAGAGAACAACAAGAAAGACAGUAGCAAAUAAUGUACCAUAUUAUUCUUCAGAUACACUUAUUUUUAACUACUUGCAAAAAUGCCUUGUCCAUUGCUAAAGUAGAGGAGGACAAUUACACUACAGCAGAAUUAAGAGAAUGAUGCAGCAGCUGUAUUGUUUUGCGCUGCUGUUGCAACAUGUAUGUGUAAAAUCAGUGUGGACAAAAUUCCUACUGCCUGAACAAAAUUUGUAUGUAUUGAGCAGUCUGAACUCCACAGUUGGGGAGAGCCUUUCACUGCCAGAACGUGACAGGAAGGAGAAGCCGCUUCUGGCAGAGACACAUGAUGAAAUUAAUUCCCGUUCAUUGAGCUCAUCUUACUGUUCUUUCAUUUUUGCCUCAAGGACCUGGAGUUAGAAUCUCCACAGUGAGUAACUUCUUGAUAGUGAAGCAUCAAAAUUUGCUUUUGUAUUUUAUCUAAAUGAUUUUAUUCCCUGGUAAAGACAUAGGAUUUGUAAGGUAAAUGCAACCAAAAAUUCUGCUAAGUCAUUGGAACUUAAAUGUUUUAUUUUGUUGUUUUUUAAACACUGAUUUCCAUUUCCAGCUCUUCAGAAUGAAAAGCAAGUAUCCCUUGCAUUUGCCUCUAUUUUCAGGAUGUCAGACUGGACAUGCAGCUGCCAUUCCUUCCAUGGAAACAGCUUUGUGCAGCAGGGCUAUGUAUCUCACCUCUCAGAAAGCUUUUAACUUUAGCUAGAUGGUCUGUGCUACCAGCUGGUGGAGAGUCUGAGUAGUCUGCCCUUAGAAGAAAACUCUUGUUGGGCAGUAGUAGCCUUCCAUGCCCAGCUUCCCACCAUGAAACAUCUGUGCUCCCUUCAAGACAAAUCUGGAUCAUUUCACCCCACAUAAUCCUAGAGCAACAUUGUGGAAUAAGUUAGGUCAGAAGGAAACCCUGGAGGUCUCUAGCCCAGCCUCUAGUCUGGCAAGGCUUAUAAAGAACUUUUUCUAGGUGGGUUUUGAGUAAAUACAAGCAUCUGAUCGGGUCUCGUCUACACGAGAUAACACGGAGCCUGCUGUUUCCCAGGUGGAGCAAGCCCAGCUUUCCCAGCCUCUCAUUGUGGAUGGUGUGCUUCAGCCUCUGGACCAUCUUUGUGGUUCUGCACUGGUCUGGCUCCAGAUUGUCAGCAAGUCUCCAGUACUGGGGUGCCCAGAG
rnacentral:lncRNA from 1 species